AGGCGGCGGCGCAUGUGGCAUAUUAAAUUCAUAAAAUGUAAAUAAAAGCAAACGGCAAGCAUUAAAUUAUUUGGUUUGAGUCAAGGAAAAAAAAAAACAACGAGCAAACAGAAAAAAGUAGGCAGUCAAAAUGCCAGAGCAACCAAAAACUAAAGGCAACCCUACCAAGGGAACCAAAGGCAGCAAGGAUCCCAAACCGAAUCCUCAGCAGGUGGUGCGUGUGCCCCUGGCUACGCAACAUGAUCGGAUAUGGAAAAUCAUGAAAAUGUAGCCAAAGGCCAAAUUCGAAAUAUUUGCUGUCUUUUAUUUGAAAUUCAUUUUCAAUACUGCAGCCGAGCUUCACGAAAAUGUUUUGUAUUUGUUACGAAUCGCCUGCCACAGGCCUGAAAGCGCCCCGACCCCCUCCCUACCGCCUACACAUAGACUUGAUCUAAAUACAUUAAAAUGUAAUUAAAUUAAAUUAUAGACUGCGUGCACACAACAAAUAUUUCUCAAACUAGUACUUUGUAAAUACAAAUUGCCGUUAAACAAA